rnacentral:rRNA from 1 species
AUUGAACGCUGGCGGCAGGCUUAACACAUGCAAGUCGAGCGGGGUGAUGGUGCUUGCACUAUCACUUAGCGGCGGACGGGUGAGUAAUGCUUAGGAAUCUGCCUAUUAGUGGGGGACAACAUCUCGAAAGGGAUGCUAAUACCGCAUACGUCCUACGGGAGAAAGCAGGGGAUCACUUGUGACCUUGCGCUAAUAGAUGAGCCUAAGUCGGAUUAGCUAGUUGGUGGGGUAAAGGCCUACCAAGGCGACGAUCUGUAGCGGGUCUGAGAGGAUGAUCCGCCACACUGGGACUGCGACACGGCCCAGACUCCUACGGGAGGCAGCAGGGGGGAAUAUUGGACAAUGGGGGGAACCCUGAUCCAGCCAUGCCGCGUGUGUGAAGAAGGCCUUAUGGUUGUAAAGCACUUUAAGCGAGGAGGAGGCUCUUUUGGUUAAUACCCAAGAUGAGUGGACGUUACUCGCAGAAUAAGCACCGGCUAACUCUGUGCCAGCAGCCGCCGUAA